AGAGCAAUUCACAGGUUAGGUCUCAGCAAACCGCAGGGUUCCAGGGUAUCCGUCCUUCCAUCUUCUAGUGGGAAGACUCUUCCUCUAAAGGGUGGUUCCCCUUCUCCCACCACUUCCUCGCCAUUGGUUCUCACGGACCAAUCAGCCUUCUCUAACUUCCCAGCUGAAAGGGAAGCAUUUUCCCCAGUCCUUCCAGAGGUCCUUCUUUCUAUCCUUCGUCAGCGGAUGAGCUACAAUUGUUCAAAACUCUCUGUUUUCUUUUUUAAAAAGAUGUAUGUGUAUAAGUGUUUUGUCUGCAUGUAUGUCCGUGCUCCUCAGAGGCACCUGGUACCCGAGGAAGUCAGGAGAUUGUGUUAGAGCCCCUGAAGCUGGAGUUACAGACGUUUGUGUCUGCUGUGGGUUCUGGGAGACUCUCCGCGAGAGUUACCACCGAGUCAAUGUCUGCAGACUUUUUUUUUUUUUCUCUUUUCUUUUUUUUUUUUUUUUUUUUUUUUCAGAGCUGGGGACUGAACCCAGGGCCUUGCGCUUGCUAGGCAAGCGCUCUACCACUGAGCUAAAUCCUCAACCCGUCUGCAGACUUUCUAUUUUUAUUCUCCAAUGUCCCAUUUAUUCCUUAGCCCCUUAAGUCUGUCUUUCUGUCCCUGCCAUUUGCUUGCUUUGUUCUGGGCAAGAUAACUAGCCAAUCUCUAGUGUUUAAAUCCACUAAAUUCUUUACAAUGUUGUCUCAAAAUGUUCUUUUUUAAAUUUACAUUCAGUGCACCCCCACAGCACGUGCAGCCAGCAGAGAACAACUCAUGGAAGUCGGGGUUCCUUUCCGGUAGUUUUCUCCCCCUCGGCACUCUGACUUCUGUUGAGCUAAUCUGUGGGAGAGAAAGGGACGCCAAGAGGCUGCUUCCCUUUGCCUCCGGCCUGUAUUGUCACAGAAAGUGAACGCAGACUCUGAGGCUGCUUCAGUUUGGCUGGCUGUCCUGACUAUUGUGUGGACACCUCUGGCUGGCACCCAGCAGACCCUUUCUAUCUGAAGUAGUAUAGGAAGUUAUUUCAUAUUAAUUUGGUGCCCAUGGCUCUUUGUUUGAGCUUGGAUCUGUGGGUUUACAAUUUCCACAAGCGUAGGAAACCAGCGGCCAUUCCUUUUACUGUGGUUUUGGCACCCACUCCUUACUGGGUUCCAACCCUCGGGCACUCCGCCAUCUGGAAGCCAAUGGGUUCUCCUCACUGUGCCUCAACCUUCCUUCUGUCUUGGGAGCUCUACAGCUGCGCCCUCAAGACCACUGCAGUUUUCUUCUGCCGCGCCUCAUAAGAGAUCCUGUUCCGAUCAAGUUUUUCACCUUACAUGUUGCAUCGGGACAGUGCCUGAACACUGAGUGGUAUAUGAACCUCGCGCCCCACCGUGGCUCUGCAACUCCGACGUAAAGCAGGCAGUGAGCAUCAAGGUCACUCGCAGACUCAGGAAGGAUGGUGACCUCGAAACUGGAAGAAGUCUCAGCAAACACUCACAGCUUUACUGUUUCAGAGGAGACCAGGAUGAUGUGAGCUUCUGGGUGACUUGCUACACACAGCUGGAACUGAAAAUCAGCUUUAACUUGGCUUUAGGUGGUGGUGCAGAGUUUGAGGUCAAUCUGAUCUACAGAGCAAGUUCCAGGACAGUCAGGGCUACACAGAGAAACCUGUCUCAAGAAGAAGGAGAAA